UCUCAUUCUUAUUGCAAGAAGAGGCGCACCUUGAGCGUAUACGUUGGGACCCGAAAGAUGGUGAACUAUGCCUGGCGAGGACAAAGUCAGGGGAAACCCUGAUGGAGGUCCGUAGCGAUUCUGACGUGCAAAUCGAUCGUCGGAGCUGGGUAUAGCGGCGAAAGACUAAUCGAACCAUCUAGUAGCUGGUUCCCUCCGAAGUUUCCCUCAGGAUAGCUGGCAUUCAUAUAAUAAAAUAAAAAGAGUCUCAUACGGUAAAGCGAAUGAUUAGAGGCCUUGGGGCCGAAACGACCUCAACCUAUUCUCAAACUUUAAAUGG
rnacentral:rRNA from 1 species